GCCCGGCUAGCUCAAUCGGUAGAGCGUGAGACUCUUAAUCUCAAGGUUGUGGGUUCGACCCGUAAGCUUCUCG